rnacentral:lncRNA from 1 species
AUUUGUAGUUACGUCACUGGACGCUGGUGCUCGCUUGUCUCUUCAAAGCAGCUCUAUCCAGGUACUUGCAGCAGGUGGGGAUGGAAUAGACCUCGAGGACAAGCUCGGAGACCACUGGACAGAAAGAGUGAGGGGUCUCUGUCACUGUGGAGCAGAGACCAGGAACCUCACCUGUGGUCUCAGUUUCCUCAGUGGUCAAGUGAGGGAUUUCCGUUCUGUGACUGAUGGUUUGGGCUAUCAUCCAGGCAACUGAAGUAAGAGUGCAAACUUCACUCCGCACUUCUGGCUCUGGGCACUGAUCACUGCCCCAUAAGUAACGUCCAGAAUGUCUCCAGUUAGAGGAAUGGGGAGUUUUUCUUUGUGAAGGGAGAUGUAAGGAGUGUGUGCCUGUUAGAAUCCGUCUCAAGCGGACCUUGACUGCGGUGGUCAUGCAAACCUGCCCAAAAUGAUGACAUUGCACACAGCUAAAUGGACACAGGAGUGCACCAACGCUGAGGAGAUCUAACCAAGCUUGGCAGAUUGUAUCAAUGUUAAUGUUCUGACUGAGGUGCAGGUUGCAAACGAUGUCCCUGUACUGUUUUUUACAACUAAAUGUGAAUCUGUAAUUAUCUUCAGCUAAGACGUUUGAUUUAAAAAGUGGCUGGAUCGGGACACCAAAAGACAAAGGGCCAUAUAAACGCACGUAGAGUUUUUGGAAGUUCCCUAGUCUCAAAACGCACCGCCCUGCCCUGUGAUAUAUUAACUUAAAUCUCAGUUAACUAGGGCUGAAAUUCAGGCCACUAGAUUCACUAAGCAGAGACCAAGAUUUCAUUGUCCCGUAAGUCACAGCCAAAGUCAUCUUUAACGUUUUAUGUUGAUCAUGUAAUCAGAUGACCUAUCCACCGCUUGAACGGGUUAUACUGUUCAUUCUCAAACUUAGGUGGAGGUCGACGUUUAUCCUUAGUAAAUUUAAUUUUACUGAGUUUUUUCUUAAUCUUCACAUUAGGCAUUCCUCCUAGCUUAGCAUUAUUUGAAUAGGUCUAAGACUGCUGUAUCUAUAGACAUUAAUAAAUACAGCAGAAGGGACUGGAUCAAGUCUGUGUGGCCUGCUUUGAGAUAGAUGCCCUCUUCCCAGACUCUCAUAAAUCCUUUCGUUGGCGGUCUUGGGUUUAUAUAGGUGGGCAAAUCUACCAUCACACCUAGACUUCUGUAUCAUGUCCGUUGUAUCGUUAUAAGACAGUAUAAUGUAUCUUGGAAACCAUCAGUGUCUUGUGACUGAAAGCCAUUGCCCCAAUUUAUUAGCCUCGCACCCUUUUUGGAAGAGUUUAGUAUGACACUGAACCAGUGUGGACUUACAAUGGUAAUGGUUUUCUUUUCUAAGAACUCAUAACUCAGCCAGAUUUUCUAAGGACAGAAUAUAUUUGUUAGCAUCUAGCUUUUCUGUUAGAAAGCUAGGGACAAAUAGGCUUUAUGAGCCUAUGUUCUUCUGGACCUGUAGACAUGACCCUGUGACCCAUCAACAUCUAAGCAUUCAAUAGCCCUGGGUAUAUGCCACUUUUUCAAACCUGAGGCUUCCUUUAAUAGAGAAGAGACAGGUGAAACUUGAGGUUGUUCUUUUGGUGUCUGGCCGGCUCAGUCCAUACAGCAUGUGACUCUUAAAUCUCGGGGUUGUGAGUUCCAGCCCCGUGUUGGGUGUGGAGAUUACUGACAAAUAAAAGUUCUUUUACUUUAUUGACAGUGAAUGAAUCAAUCAAUGAAUAGAAGACCAGUUGAGCCAACUUUUCAGAGAUUUCAUCAAUAGCUAAUCCUUUUUAUGAAAUAGAGUUCAAAUUAUUUUAGGGUUUUUUGGUUCUAAAAAGACACGAGGAUUUGUAAUUAUAAAAUGUAGUGGAGGAUAGAGUACCAAAACUUUACCUUUCAAAGUAGUAGGUUAGUACCGUCAAGCUUUGCAGAACACCUGUGGCAAUUUUUAGAGGGCAGUAUUAGCCAUUUUCUACUUAACCCACUGUGUACCUGAGUUAGGGUCCCUAUGAAUUCAGAUGGUGGAGAGUCAGUCCAGGUAAGAGAGCAGCCACAGGAAAAGAGUGACGCGGUGACUUUGCCCCUCACCACCAUUUGUCAUCUUCUCGAUUUCUACCAGCUAUUAUUACAAACAUUGGAAUUUAACUUAGUUGUAGAUCUUGGCCCAGAGACAAAAGCUGAAUGCUGCGUCUGCAUAACUGCACCCCUACUUCUCCCCCUCUCACCUCAGAAGGAUUUUACCCUGGGUCUUGUUAGUUGGAGCAUCUACAGAUCUCUAGAGGAGAGAUUUCCUCUUCUGUGGGGGGGUCUCUACCUGUGCCUGGCAUCAUUAUCCCAUUCAUGUAAUCCACAUUGGGAGUUGGCUUCUAGCACCCAGCACCUUUGGUUGAGGAAGCAAGCAGCCACAGCAACUAAGACAUAGUAGCCACGAUCCACAGGGAACCUGCUUUGUACCAAGCACAUUACAUAGAUGGACUCAAGUCCAAAGUUUCUGGGAGCAUGCAUCACCCCAAUUUACAGAGGAAGAAACUUGAUUCCCAGAGGGGCUUAAUAACUCUGCUUGAGGUUGCUGAGCCCCGUCCCAAGGGGGACUCACACACUCAGGCUCUUCUAUGCACAGGGACCAGUGCUGGGUUGGGUAUUGGACGGCAGUUUGCACUGAGCUAGGGAGCUGGCUCUUCUCUGUAAGACCUUUAGACACUGAGCCACCUUUUGAGGUUCCCUUGAUCUCCAAACAAGAAAAAGGCUGAAGCAUCCUAUGUGCAAACUUUGCCUAAUAAAACUGGGUACUAAUUUAUAUUUGCUUGAGUUCCAAUCCUGUUACCUUGGAGACGUGUUCUUUAAUUUUGUUUAUUUGUUCAUUUUUGAGAGACAGAGACCGAGCGCUACUGGGGGAGGGGCAGAGAGAGAGGGAGACACAGAAUCUGAAGCAGGCUCCAGGCUCCAAGCUAUCAGCACAGAGCCCGACGCAGGGCUCAAACCCAUGAACUGUGAGAUCAUGACCUGAGCCCAAGUCAGACACUUAAUCCACUGAGCCACCCAGGCACCCUUGAGAUAUGUCCUUUCAAAUGUUAUGUGUAAAUGGUUACAUUUCUGGCUGGUGGUUAAAUACACACACACAGACACACACACACUUUUAUCAGUGAAUGAAUUAAUGAAUAAAAGGCAAAUUGAACCAAAUGUUAGAGAUUUAAUUAAUAGCUAAUCUUUAAGAAAUAUGUACAGUGAAACCUUGCAUUGUAAAUAACUUGCUCUACAAGUGUUCCACAAGACGAGCAACUGUUUCUAAUAAGUUUUAACUUGACAAACAAGCAAUGUCUUAUGAGUAGUACAUGACUCCAAAUAUCACACAAUCACAACUGAAUCAAUGGUUCUCUCUCUCUCUCUCUCUCUUUCUUUUUCUCUCUGCAGGAUUGAAGGUGAUUGUCUCCCAUGCUCAGAUGCUCAGUCUCAGGCCACGGUGUUUGGCAGAAAUCAGUGAUUUUUCAGAACGUUGGAAGGUGCCCAAAACUGGCAUUGGUGUAUUCUUUGUCACUUCAAGCACCUAAGUCCUUUGCUUUUCCAUACAAAAAUGAGCUUAGGAAUCCUUUACUUCUUUGUAGGUCAGGCUGUCUGCAGAUAGAGACCCUUUCCUCUGCUGCCUUAUUGCCAGUUACAUUAAAUACAGUACAUGACAAGAGUUUAUUAGUAUUGUACUGUAGCCAAUGUCUGUUACUAAUGGUGAAAGUCUCCCAGUAACCCUCCUCUCUCUUGUCUCCUUCACAUGGCCAUGAAGGUUUUCAAAAGUAAUUUGUUUUUCUUUAUAUUUUGUAUUUUCUUUAUUAUUUUGUAUUAUAUUACAGUAUUGUAAUCAUUUUUGUAUGAAUAUUUUUGGGCUGUGGAACGAAUCAUCUGAGCUUCCAUUAUUGCUUAUGGGAAAACUCGCUUUGAUAUACAGGUGCUUU